UACGUAGGAUGCGAGCGUUGUCCGGAAUUAUUGGGCGUAAAGCGAACGUAGGCGGCCAUCUAAGUUUGGUCUUAAAGACCGGGGCUCAACCCCGGGAAUGGACUGAAGACUGGGUGGCUGGAGCGUGUUAGAGGAAAAGUGGAAUUCCAGGUGUAGCGGUGAAAUGCGUAGAUAUCUGGAGGAACACCGGUGGCGAAGGCGGGUCUCUGGGCCGAUACUGACGCUGAGGAGCGAAAGCGUGGGGAGCGAACAGG
rnacentral:rRNA from 1 species